GACGAACGCUGGCGGCGUGCUUAACACAUGCAAGUCGAACGAGUGGCGAACGGGUGAGUAAUACGCGGGUAACCUGCCCUUUUUUUGGGAUAAGACUUGGAAACGGGGUCUAUUACCCAAUAAAGGGGGAUGGGCUCGCGGCCUAUCAGGUUGUUGGUGGGGUGAUGGCCUACCAAGGCGGUGACGGGUCGCCGGACUGAGAGGGAGACCGGCACGAGUGGGAGUGAGAUACGGCCCAGAGUGCAGCAGGCGGGAGCAGUGGGGGAUAGUGCACAGUGGGCGGAAGCCCGAUGCAGCUACGCCGCGUGGGGGUUGAAGUCUUUCGGGUUGUAAACCUCGUUCGCUAGCGAACGGGUAGGUGGAUAAGAAGCGCCGGCUAACUACGUGCCAGCAGCCGCGGUAAUUC
rnacentral:rRNA from 1 species